rnacentral:rRNA from 1 species
GACGAACGCUGGCGGCGUGCUUAACACAUGCAAGUCGAACGGAAAGGCCCUGCUUGCAGGGUACUCGAGUGGCGAACGGGUGAGUAACACGUGGGUGAUCUGCCCUCCACUUCGGGAUAAGCCUGGGAAACUGGGUCUAAUACCGGAGAGGAGCCAUUUUUAGUGUGAUGGUUGGAAAGUUUUUUCGGUGUGGGAUGAGCUCGCGGCCUAUCAGCUUGUUGGUGGGGUAAUGGCCUACCAAGGCGGCGACGGGUAGCCGGCCUGAGAGGGUGGACGGCCACAUUGGGACUGAGAUACGGCCCAGACUCCUACGGGAGGCAGCAGUGGGGAAUAUUGCACAAUGGGCGGAAGCCUGAUGCAGCGACGCCGCGUGGGGGAUGACGGCCUUCGGGUUGUAAACUGCUUUCGCCAGGGACGAAGCUUUUUGUGACGGUACGUAGAUAGGAAACACCGGCUAACUACGU